rnacentral:snoRNA from 1 species
AUGAUGAGGCUAGACUAAGCCGAAUAAUGACGUGGCGUGAAAGGGCUGA